AUGGAGGGACAAGUCCAACAAUUUGUCACUCUCCGCUUUGGUGACCUCUGGCUGGAUGUGCCAAUUGCUCCGCUUGUGGCUGCAGUUAGCAAGAGUUUGGAAACAACAGCUGCAUCCCCGGCUAAGCCAGAAGAAAAGGAAGUCUCCUCUACACUGAAGGAGGGGUUUACUCAUGUGCUCACAAAGUCAGCAAAGAGAAGGAUGCGUGCAGCUGCAAGAGCAUCUAAGGAUCAGCAUGUACGCGAAGCUUCUUCAUCUACUUCAGUUCCUCCUGGUUUCACAAAGAUGUCACCUACCAAGGUCAUGAGUCAUGAGGUACCACCAAAUGUUGUUCGCAUGACACCCGAAGAGUGGCCUGUUCUCGCAAAACGGACAGGAUCACUAAAGGUGGCAUCGCCAAGACAAUCUGCUUCAACUACAUCGACCAAAGUCGUAGUGCCCCUUACACCUUCAAAACUUAGGGUGGGCGCACGCGAAGGGUUAGGAGAAAGCUCACAUAAGAUUAUCCCAAGUAACGUAGGGGCAACACAAAGGGCUUGCUCCACGGACAAAGGAAAAGGUGUAAUGGCUGAGGACACUGAGUCUUCCUCACUUGAAGGAUCGGCUCGUCCAAGAAACCAACUUCGUGUUGAUGCACCUGAAUUUAUCCCCACCAUGGGCUAUAAUCCCAUUGAACCAUGCCUAGUGGGUGAGCCAAGCAAUAGACGCUCGCUCCAGUGGCAGGGGGUGUUUGUCACUUCAGAUGACUUCCAAGCUAGUCAUGUGGAUCCAACUGCUACAAUAUCAGAUCCUUUGUCCUCAUCGGUGCCAGCACCAAGACCAUCAUUUGAGGGUUCAAUUGAUCCAGCAUGUCGUCGUCGUCGACGACAGAGGGCUCACCGUGCAUGGCUUGAUUUCCCAGUGGCAACUGAUGCAAACAUGACCAAUCAACAACGGAAGCAAGUGGCAUAUCCCAUCAGAAAUAGAGAAAGGAAGAUCAAUGCGAGGAUUCGCGGAGGGAGCCAUGCUAGCUUCCAUGCCGUCAUGACACAGAAUGUUUGCCAAGCUUUGAAGGAAGUACUUCCAGGAUGCUCUAUCUCUGCUGAUAAUGUUGGUGACGCCAUCAUGCGGUGUGUAGAGACUCUAUCGAAGUGGCCAGAAUAUGAAGAAUUUGUGAAGGCAGAUCCACGACGACAAGAGUAUGUGAAGCAGGCUGCUCAUGCACGCAAAAAGCGGGCCGCCCUGAAACAAAGAGAGAUGGAAAUACGAGCCGAUUCGGGUUAUAGCAGAAUACAAGGAAAAGAUUCUCCAUCAACAAGCCAAGUCAGUAGAGGAAAUGGAGCAAAAGAAAUGGCAAGUACAGAAAACAAGACUACCAGAACUCUCGCUCCAUGGCCAACUCGUAAGAAGGUCUCGGGAAACUCAUUUGAAGUAUUCAACGCAAUGCCAGUUGGUGUCAAAGGGGUGACAGACAAUAGUAGUGAAACCUCCUCAGCAUCAAUACACUUCAAGAGGAAGAAGGCAUGUAAGACUGUUGUAGAAGGUCCUUGCCGCACGACAUGGAGCCAGAAGGGUUCAGAUCAUGAAGAACUUGGGUCAAGCAAUGGGGGGUCUUACAAUCCCCUAUCAGAUAGCACUCCUUGUCCUUCUGAGAAUGAGAUAGAACUUCACCAUGGUGCAGAGCAUACAGAACAAGUCCUAGCUGCGAAUGAAACUCGUCCCGUUGAGGAGCAAUUAGCCAACCUUACGGCAGCGCUUCAGCAAAAGGAAGACGAGCUAGCAGCCCUUUGA
rnacentral:rRNA from 1 species